GCCUGGGUGACUCAGUUGGUUAAGCGCCUGACUUCAGCUCAGGUCAUGACCUUACGGUUUGUGAGUUCAAGUCCCGCAUCAGGCU
rnacentral:tRNA from 1 species